ensembl:lncRNA
AUGAUUUUUGUGUGUUUUCACUCAGUGAUUGUUUGUAGUAAUCAGCAUUAUGUUGUGUUUGUCAGACUGCAGGCUAUGUUAGAGAUUCAGAGGCUUGAAGCUGAAGUAGAGAAUCACAACACAAGGAACAAUGAGAAGCACCUGGAAGAGAGUUUGAAACGGCUCCAGGAUGAGGCAGAAGUGAGACUCAGGGAAGUUUAUCUGGAGUCACAGCAGAUCACAGAGAACAUGGACGAGGACCACAGAGGGCUCUGCUCUAAAUCUGAGAGCUUUAAUGGCCAGGCUGAGCCACAGAAACUCACAGAGCUUUCGCAAGAGGGGAGAAGACAGCACAUGGUCCACUUCAGCUCAGGAGAUUGUCUUUUGGGUUUUCUUUCGGUGACCCGCUGUGUGGAAACGCACUGAGCCAUGCGUCAGUUGAAGGGCAAGCCGAAGAAGGAGUCAUGGAAGGACAAAAAGGAGCGCAAACAGGCCAUGCAGGAGGCGCGGGAGCAGGUGACAACCAUCGUUCUACCGACGCUCAUCUUGCUCGUGCUGCUCAUCGUCCUCCUCGUCUACGUGGCGACGAGACCCGGAGCCAUCGAGUAAAAAGACUCCAAAUAGCCAAAUCUCCUCUGCCCUUGUCUUUCUCUUUCAUUUCCCCUUGUUCCUUCACAAUGCAGAGUUCAGUGGAUGAAUUGGACACAGUCAUAAAGAUGAAUGGAUUGAUAAAGGAGUGCUUUUCUGUGUCAUGUUUGGAGUAUGUUGAAGGAGUCUUCCAUUUCGGCUUCUGACAGAGCACCUCUCCCAGCCACCAGCAUUCGCGUCUGUGGCAGCCAUGUUGGCUCCAAAUGCAUUUACAGGGUUCUAGUUUCAUGCCAAAGCACCUGAGACACAGCAGACUCAGACUGACCCAGGAACCGGGCCAGAUCUGAUGCCUCUGUGCUCAAAGUCAAUACAAAUGAGAAGUGACUGUAGUAUUGCACAUGUUUGUAGCAUGCAAAUGCACACACACACACAGAUCCACAAAUGAACAUUGAUGGGUGUCACAUGAAACCAUUUAUGACAGAAUUGUAUGUUACCCAGAAUGUAUACUUCUUAUUGCUCAUUACCGAAUCCCUUAACAAGCAGUUCCUGAUGUUUUUGGUUAAUGUGUGUGUGUGUGUGUGUAAGCAUAUGCACAAUGAAGUGCAUGUUUCUGUCACAUCUGUGAUAUACAAUCAAAGCAGCAAACGUACUCUUAUUUUAAAAUGUAUUCCAGCAGGACUUGGAUCUAAAAAUGUGCCUUAAUGUUUAAUGACAUAACAGCAUUUAAAGUAUUAAUAAAGAAAUAGAAAGCCAUGCUGACUGCUUUAAGGAUUGUUUUAAUAAGACUGUGUUUUGAUCUUUCAAGUUUUUCCUCCCAUCUAUCUCUUACAAAAGUAUUUCAUUCUUUUGGGAACUUUGCUUUUGCUGACAAAACGUUUUCUCGCAAAAAUAAUCGCAUCUCCUUAAGAAACUUAACGUGCACAAGAACUGAAAUAUAGUUUUUCUGCAAAAGCUUUGUGACGCAUGCAUUGAAAAACAGUUUUAUCCUCCCGUGUCCUCUCACAAAAGUAUUUUUAUUUCCCUGAAGAACUUUGCAUUCGCUUACACAAGCAUUCAAAUAUAGUUUUUCAGCACAAACGUUUUAUGAGAGCAUGCACUGACUGAAAUAUCAUUUUCCUCCCAUCUCUCAUGCAAAAAGUAUUUUGUUUCCCUGAGAAAUUAUGCAUAAGCUUGCAAAACGUUUUCCGCUCUCGUUCACAAAAGUAAUGCAUUGUCUCGUAAAACCUUGCGUUUGCUCACAAAAGCAUUGAAUUAUAUAUUUUUUUCUCCCACUUCAUAUUAGCAAGAGGACUCAGUUACUUUGUGGAACACAUAAUGUUUGCGAACCAAGAAAACCAAACUAGUUUCAAUAUCUUUUUGAUACACUAGACAAACUACACACUUUCUCUGCCUGCCAGAAG